GGAGAGUUUGAUCCUGGCUCAGGAUGAACGCUAGCGGCAGGCUUAAUACAUGCAAGUCGAGGGGCAGCACGGGUAGCAAUACUUGGUGGCGACCGGCGCACGGGUGCGUAACACGUAUACAAUCUACCUAUAACAGGGGGAUAGCCUUUCGAAAGAGAGAUUAAUACCCCGUAACAAAUUGAGUGGCAUCACUUGAUUUUGAAAGCUCCGGCGGUUAUAGAUGAGUAUGCGUCUGAUUAGCUAGUUGGUAGUGUAAUGGACUACCAAGGCGACGAUCAGUAGGGGAUCUGAGAGGACUACCCCCCACACUGGUACUGAGACACGGACCAGACUCCUACGGGAGGCAGCAGUAAGGAAUAUUGGUCAAUGGAGGCAACUCUGAACCAGCCAUGCCGCGUGCAGGAAGACGGCCCUAUGGGUUGUAAACUGCUUUUGUACCAGAGAAAACCCCGGUACGUGUACCGGGUUGAUAGUAUGGUAAGAAUAAGCAUCGGCUAACUUCGUGCCAGCAGCCGCGGUAAGACGAAGGAUGCAAGCGUUAUCCGGAUUCAUUGGGUUUAAAGGGUGCGUAGGCGGACUUGUAAGUCAGUGGUGAAAUCUCUCAGCUUAACUGAGAAACUGCCAUUGAUACUGCAGGUCUAGAGUACAGAUGAUGUGGGCGGAAUAUGACAUGUAGUGGUGAAAUACUUAGAUAUGUCAUAGAACACCGAUUGCGAAGGCAGCUCACAAAACUGUAACUGACGCUGAGGCACGAAAGUGCGGGGAUCAAACAGGAUUAGAUACCCUGGUAGUCCGCACCGUAAACGAUGAUUACUCGUUGUUGGCGAUAUGACAGUCAGCGACCAAGCGAAAGCGAUAAGUAAUCCACCUGGGGAGUACGCCGGCAACGGUGAAACUCAAAGGAAUUGACGGGGGCCCGCACAAGCGGAGGAGCAUGUGGUUUAAUUCGAUGAUACGCGAGGAACCUUACCU
rnacentral:rRNA from 1 species